rnacentral:rRNA from 1 species
GAUGAACGCUGGCGGCGUGCCUAAUACAUGCCAGUCGAGCGAACAGACGAGGUGCAUGGUCGCCUGAGGUUGGCGGCGGAAGGGUGAGUAACACAUGGAUAACCUAACUACAAGACUGGGAUAAAUUUGGGAAACCAUAGCUAAAACCGGAUAAUAUAUUGAAUAUGAUGGUUCCAUAGUUAAAGACGGUUUUUGUGUCACUUAUAGAUUGACACGCGGCGCAUUAGCGUGUCGGCAAGGUAAAGGCUUAGCAACGCAACGAUGCGAAGCCGACCUGAAAGGGAGAUUCGCCACACUGGCACUGAGACUCGGCCCAGACUCUGACGGGAGGCAGCAGUAGGGAAUCUUCCGCAAUGGGGGAAAGCCUGACGGAGCAACGCCGCGUGAAGGAUGAAGUACUUCGGCUUGUAAAACUCUGUAAUUAGGGAAGAACAAAAGUUUUAGUAACUGUGAUCAUAAUGACGGUACCUUAUCAGAAAGCCACGGCUAACUACGUG